rnacentral:rRNA from 1 species
AUGGAACCUCAGCAAGAGUCGACCGCCGGCGGCCGCAAGAGGCGGCGUAGAGGAGGAGUCGGGAAACGCCAGAAGGAUUAUUCUUCCUCACAACAGGCACCUCCGCCUGCCCCUCCAGCGGAUGCGGCCUCCCCCCUGGAGAAGCGGCGACGCAAGGCCGGCGAGGCCGCCGCAAUACCCAAGGGGCGCAAGCCUACGAGCCUACUCGAAAAGAUGCGUGCAAGGUUAUCUGGAGGUCAUUUCAGAAUGUUAAAUGAGAAACUGUACACUUGCAGUGGCCAGGAUGCAUUUGACUACUUUAAAAACGAGCCUGAGCUUUUUGACGUGUAUCAUGCAGGAUAUCAAGAGCAGAUGUCACAUUGGCCGGAGCAGCCAGUUAAUGUGAUAAUCAAGUGGUUGAAGAGUCAUAACAAAUCAUGGACCGUUGCUGAUUUUGGAUGUGGCAAUGCAGCAGUUGCUAAAAACGUGAAGAACAAGGUCUUCUCCAUCGAUCUUGUUUCAGAUGACCCUUCAGUGAUUGCUUGUGAUAUGGCUCAUACCCCAUUGGAGCCAUCCUCUGUAGAUGUGGCGAUAUUUUGUCUUUCUUUGAUGGGAACCAACUUUCCGAGUUAUCUACAGGAAGCUAACAGAGUCCUCAAGCCAAGUGGUUGGCUUCUUAUUGCGGAAGUGAGGAGUAGGCUAGACCCAAAUACCGGAGGUGCUGAUCCUGAUAAGUUCUCCGAAGCCAUCAGCCAGCUUGGCUUUAACCUUAUUUCGAAGGAUGAGAAGAACAAAAUGUUUGUCCUGUUUUAUUUCAGGAAAAAGGAAAAGAGCAAGGUGGCGAAAAACAUUGAAUGGCCCCAGUUGAAACCUUGCUUGUACAAGCGGCGAUGA